GAUGAACGCUGGCGGCGUGCCUAACACAUGCAAGUCGAACGAAGCAAUUAAGAUGAAGUUUUCGGAUGGAAUCUUGAUUGACUGAGUGGCGGACGGGUGAGUAACGCGUGGAUAACCUGCCUCACACUGGGGGAUAACAGUUAGAAAUGACUGCUAAUACCGCAUAAGCGCACAGUGCCGCAUGGCAGUGUGUGAAAAACUCCGGUGGUGUGAGAUGGAUCCGCGUCUGAUUAGCCAGUUGGCGGGGUAACGGCCCACCAAAGCGACGAUCAGUAGCCGACCUGAGAGGGUGACCGGCCACAUUGGGACUGAGACACGGCCCAAACUCCUACGGGAGGCAGCAGUGGGGAAUAUUGCACAAUGGGCGAAAGCCUGAUGCAGCGACGCCGCGUGAGUGAAGAAGUAUUUCGGUAUGUAAAGCUCUAUCAGCAGGGAAGAAAAUGACGGUACCUGACUAAGAAGCCCCGGCUAACUACGUGCCAGCAGCCGCGGUAAUACGUAGGGGGCAAGCGUUAUCCGGAUUUACUGGGUGUAAAGGGAGCGUAGACGGCGAAGCAAGUCUGAAGUGAAAACCCAGGGCUCAACCCUGGGACUGCUUUGGAAACUGUUUUGCUAGAGUGUCGGAGAGGUAAGUGGAAUUCCUAGUGUAGCGGUGAAAUGCGUAGAUAUUAGGAGGAACACCAGUGGCGAACGCGGCUUACUGGACGAUAAC
rnacentral:rRNA from 1 species